rnacentral:rRNA from 1 species
UACGUAGGGGGCAAGCGUUGUCCGGAUUUAUUGGGCGUAAAGCGCGUGUAGGCGGCCAGGUAGGUCCGCUGUGAAAACCCGAGGCUCAACCUCGGGACGUCGGCGGAAACCAUUUGGCUAGAGUCCGGAAGAGGAGAGUGGAAUUCCUGGUGUAGCGGUGAAAUGCGCAGAUAUCGUAAGGAAGACCAGUGGCGAAGGCGGGUCGCUGGACAGUUCCUGACGCUGAGGCACGAAGGUCAGGGGAGCAAACGGGAUUGAGA